UACGUAGGGGGCAAGCGUUGUCCGGAAUCAUUGGGCGUAAAGCGCGUGUAGGCGGCCCGAUAAGUCCGCUGUGAAAGUCCAGGGCUCAACCCUGGGAUGCCGGUGGAUACUGUCGGGCUCGAGUCCGGAAGAGGAGUGUGGAAUUCCUGGUGUAGCGGUGAAAUGCGUAGAGAUGCGGAGGAACACCGAUGGCGAAGGCAGCCCCCCUGGGCUAACACUGACGCUCAGGCACGAAAGCGUGGGGAGCAAACGAGG
rnacentral:rRNA from 1 species